AACUUUUUCUCGCAGCUGAGUUGAGAUGUGGGAGACUGAAAGAGGGUCUGGAGUGAGGAGGAGAAAGCGGGCGGUACCAUUACGCCGGACCGUGCGACGACGACUCUUGUCGGGACCACAUGACAACCCCCGGCAGCUAAAUGAGCAAAAGAAAAACUGUGGAUUUUGGUCAUUAAUUAACACAUUACAGGUGGAAGUGUGGUAACAUUCUGGGAGGGAAAGCACAGACAGGUCUUGGUCCAGUAUGAACCGAGCAUUUAACAGGAAAAAAGAUAAAUCAUGGAUGCAUACUCCUGAGGCCCUGGCCAAACACUUCAUUGGAUACAAUGCCAAGUUCCUUGGCAACACAGAGGUCGAACAACCUAAAGGCACAGACAUUGUGAAGGAUGCAGUCAGAAAGCUUAAGUUUCAAAGGCACAUCAAAAAAUCAGAAGGUCAGAAGGUUCCAAAGGUGGAAUUACAAAUAUCGAUUUACGGAGUAAAAAUAUUAGAUCCCAAGACAAAGGAUGUACUGCACAAUUGCCAGUUGCACAGGAUAUCCUUCUGUGCGGAUGAUAAAACAGACAAAAGGAUAUUUACAUUCAUCUGCAAAGACUCUGAGACCAAUAAACAUCUCUGCUACGUGUUUGACAGUGAAAAAUGUGCAGAGGAGAUUACUCUCACUAUUGGUCAAGCCUUUGACUUGGCUUACAAGAAGUUUCUGGAGUCGGGCGGAAAAGAUGUAGAGACGCGGAAACAGAUAGGAUCCCUUCAAAAGAGAAUUCAAGAACUCGAAACCGAAAAUUCAGAAUUGAAAAAACAGUUACAGAACUUAGACGACCAGAUGAGAAGUUCCAAGGUCUCACCACUGCUGCAUUUAAACUCAGCUAACGAGGCGUACAUGAUGCAGAGGCCUUCCUCUCUCUUCUGGUGUCAUAAUCUCACCUCCUUCUCGUGUCUAGAAAUCUCCUCUGUCACUCUCACGCCUAUGAGCUCUCCCGAGUCCAACUUCUCCACAGGCCUCCUCACUCCUCCUCCCGCUAAGCCUGCACUUCCAAAGCCUCGCAACGGAUUCAGUAUCCCGCGGCCUCGUGCAGGCAGCAUCUCCACAAAACCGGCAUCCACAGACGUUUUUGACAUGAUUCCCUUCUCCCCUGUGGAGCCACUGGUUCCAUUACCGGCGAGUAACGGAGCGCCACCUCCCGCUCCUGCACCUCCAGCAGAAGAGCGGAAAGAUCUUUUUGGCGCUGAACCCUUUGACCCAUUCAUCUGUGGGGCCGCCGACUUCCCCCCGGACAUCCAGUCCAAGCUGGACGAGAUGCAGGUGACUGCAUGUCUGUGAAUUAUUAGCACAUGGCGACGCAUGCAUAUGAGCAGCUGCCGAAACAGACGGAGGGGUUCAAAAUGGGACUAACCCUAGAGGGCACUGUCUUUUCUCUGGACCCACUAGACGGUCGCUGCUGAUGCCAAGAAGACUUUUGUGAAAUACUGUUUCCUGUUUCUAUUAAAUAAGUGCCAAAAUUGAAUCUACAGUCAAGAUGUCAAUGUUCUCACCUUGAGAUUUGUAUGUCUUUGCAUUAGAAUUUGGUUUACAAAAAAAUGAUUCAAAAAAGAGAGAAAUAUGGUGGGAACCUACAUUUUAAGUCUGAUAAGUUAAAACACUAUUUUUGUAACAAUUAUUAAAAAAGAAUAGUUAAGUCUACUUUUGACACCCCCUUGUACAGGCAUUAAAGGAUGUAAAUAGUAUGUCCAAUGGUACAUGCUGUAACGAAAAGCUUAAUAUCUAAACUCUCAUAUCCUGUUUAAAACCACAAAAACCAACUACAAUGUGUCAUGUUCCUGCCUUGAUUGUGUUUUAAGUCUGGUUUGUCAUUUCAGAAACCUCUGUUGUUGUACACAUACAUUUUCAGUAUACUUGUACCUGAAAGUCUGCUUGUGAGAGCCAUGUAAGACCAUUUUAGGGAUUCAUGAAUGCAGUAUAACACCUCUGAAGUUUAAAGUCUGAAGAAUAAUCCUAAAAGUCCCGUGGGGGCACUAGCAUGAGUCCUCAGUUGUGGCUGUAGCUCUGUAACAUUAGAAGAGGACUGCACUAAAACCUACAAACACACAAGAGUGGAAAAGAGUCCAUAAAUAUUUCUUGGUAACUGUAAACUGGUCCCUAUUUCCAAGUACACAUUAAUAACUGGAGUUCCUUGUGUAGUAUGGCAAAUCCACAUGAUCUAGGGUCUGUGACAAGCAGUAUUGACCUGAACAUUUCUUAUGAAGUUUACAAAUGCAUCAUUAGAGGGUGAUGUUCUCCCUUACAUUUGCGUUGAGUUGAGGUAUUAUACAUCAUUGGGUAGCUAUUGACAUAUUACUGGAAUGCCAAACUGAGCUUCAUCUUAUGUAACAUAUUUUGUAUAAUUUAACAUAUUUUGAUGACUAAAAUGGAUUCAUUGAAAUAUUUUUAAUAGAACAUUUAACCACCUGUUUGUCUCCUUUAUCCAUUUAGCCCAAUAUGUACUUUUUGAAAUAUUCUUGGGUAGCAGAAAUUUAUUUCUUACUAUGUUUUAGUACCCUCUUGCACAAAGAAGCACUUUGAAAGCCUUUGUCAGUAUAUUUACAUGUUACAUGUACACCUAUAUGUUUACAUUUAAUCUGUAUGCAUUAUUUUAAACUUUUCCCCCAUAGUCAUUAAAUAUUACAUCACAUGAUAUACUA